AGAGUUUGAUCAUGGCUCAGGACGAACGCUGGCGGCGUGCUUAACACAUGCAAGUCGAACGGGAGUAUUGAAGAAGCUUGCUUUAGAGAUACUUUAGUGGCGGACGGGUGAGUAACGCGUGAGGAGCUGUCCUAUGCAGGGGGACAACAGCUGGAAACGGCUGCUAAUACCCCAUAAGCCGAGAGGUAAAAGGAUCAAUCCGGCAGAGGAGGUACUCGCGUCCUAUCAGCUAGUAGGUGAGGUAACGGCUCACCUAGGCGAAGACGGGUAGCCGGCCUGAGAGGGCGAACGGCCACACUGGAACUGAGAUACGGUCCAGACUCCUAUGGGAGGCAGCAGUGGGGAAUAUUGGGCAAUGGGGGGAAAAACCCCUGACCCAGCGACGCCGCGUGGGUGAAGAAAUCCUUCGGGAUGUAAAGCCCUGUUGUAUGGGAAGAGCGGAAGACGGUACCAUACGAGGAAGCCCCGGCAAACUACGUGCCAGCAGCCGC
rnacentral:rRNA from 1 species